rnacentral:rRNA from 1 species
AUUAAUUUCUAUAAACAAUACUGUGAACAAACCAGAGUGUAUAAAACAUGUAAUAUAUUAUAUAUUUUAGCAAUGAAUGUUUUAUCAUGGAAUAUUGUCCAAUAAUAUUGUCGAUGGAGAUAGUUGGAGUUAAGAGUACUGAUAGGCGAGCGGUGAAAUGCAUUGACCCUAUUAAGACUAACAAAAGCGAAAGCACUUAACUAGAUUAUUCUCUUUGUAUUAUUACAAUGAAGAGCGAAGGUUGGGGGAACAAAGAGGAUCAGAUACCCUCGUAGUCCUAUUUUUACAUCAAACUAUGGGAUUUCAUUCAACAACUUUACAAAAUACAUUUUUGAUUUUAUAAUAUGAUUGAGGAGAUGAUUUUCACCUCUCAUAUUUUAUGAUUAAUAAUUAUUAUAUUUUAAUGAUUAUAUGUACUUUGAGCUCAUAUAAUUAUAUAGGUGAGAUGUAAGCAUUAUAGGUGAAUAAUAUAUAAGUAAUAUUAUAUUAUUAUGAUCCUUAUUUAUAAAAAUGUAAUGUGAUG